rnacentral:rRNA from 1 species
UACGGGGGGGGCAAGCGUUGUUCGGAAUUACUGGGCGUAAAGGGCCAGUAGGCGGCCAACUAAGUCGGAUGUGAAAUCCCCAGGCUUAACCUGGGAACUGCAUCCGAUACUGGAUGGCUUGAAUUCGGGAGAGGGAUGCAGAAUUCCAGGUGUAGCGGUGAAAUGCGUAGAUAUCGAGAGGAACACCUGCGGCGAAGGCGGGUUGCUGGGCUGACACUGACGCUGACAGCGCGAAAGCUAGGGGAGCGAACGGG